rnacentral:rRNA from 1 species
UGGGGAAUAUUGGACAAUGGGCGAAAGCCUGAUCCAGCCAUGCCGCGUGUGUGAAGAAGGUCUUCGGAUUGUAAAGCACUUUAAGUUGGGAGGAAGGGCAUUAACCUAAUACGUUAGUGUUUUGACGUUACCGACAGAAUAAGCACCGGCUAACUCUGUGCCAGCAGCCGCGGUAAUACAGAGGGUGCAAGCGUUAAUCGGAAUUACUGGGCGUAAAGCGCGCGUAGGUGGUUUGUUAAGUUGGAUGUGAAAGCCCCGGGCUCAACCUGGGAACUGCAUCCAAAACUGGCAAGCUAGAGUACGGUAGAGGGUGGUGGAAUUUCCUGUGUAGCGGUGAAAUGCGUAGAAAUAGGAAGGAACACCAGUGGCGAAGGCGACCACCUGGACUGAUACUGACACUGAGGUGCGAAAGCGUGGGGAGCAAACA